rnacentral:rRNA from 1 species
CACGUAGGGCGCAAGCGUUGUCCGGAAUCAUUGGGCGUAAAGCGCGCGUAGGUGGUCCCGUAAGUCCGCUGAUGAAAGUCAAAAGGCUCAACCUUUGAAAGCCGGUGGAUACUGUGGGACUAGAGUACGGAAGAAGGCGAGUGGAAUUCCUGGUGUAGCGGUGGAAUGCGCAGAUAUCAGGAGGAACACCAAUAGCGAAGGCAGCUCGCUGGGACGUUACUGACACUGAGGCGCGAAAGCGUGGGGAGCGAACAGG